GUGGGGAAUAUUGGACAAUGGGUGAAAGCCUGAUCCAGCCAUGCCGCGUGUGUGAAGAAGGUCUUCGGAUUGUAAAGCACUUUAAGUUGGGAGGAAGGGCAGUAAGUUAAUACCUUGCUGUUUUGACGUUACCGACAGAAUAAGCACCGGCUAACUUCGUGCCAGCAGCCGCGGUAAUACGAAGGGUGCAAGCGUUAAUCGGAAUUACUGGGCGUAAAGCGCGCAUAGGUGGUUUUGUAAGUUGAAGGUGAAAUCCCCGGGCUCAACCUGGGAACUGCCUCCAAAACUACUGAGAUAGAGUACGGUAGAGGGUAGUGGAAUUUCCUGUGUAGCGGUGAAAUGCGUAGAUAUAGGAAGGAACACCAGUGGCGAAGGCGACUACCUGGACUGAUACUGACACUGAGGUGCGAAAGCGUGGGGAGCAAACAGGAUUAGAAACCCGGGUAGUCC
rnacentral:rRNA from 1 species